rnacentral:rRNA from 1 species
AUGGACCAUUUCCGUAUGGCGGCCUCCCAACCCAACAAACCAACAAUGAAGGAGGAUGGCGAAGAUGAGAUGGCGAGAUGGUGGGAGAAGGCUGCGAAGAAGCUGAGAGAGGAGGAUGCAGCCGCACUAAAGAAGAAGAAGGAAGAGGAGCUUGAAGAGAAGAGGAAGGAAAGAGUGAGAAUGGAUAAUGAGUAUCCCGCUAGGGAGCAAGCAUUGGUGAGGAAAUGUGAGGAGGCACAGAAGAAGCGUCAAAAGGAUUUUUAA